UCCCUGAUGGUCUAGUGGUCAGGAUUCUGCGCUUUCACCGCCGUGGCCCGGGUUCGAUUCCCGGUCGAGGAA
rnacentral:tRNA from 1 species